GCCACAAGCCAAGGAACACCAGGAGCCACAGGUAGGUAGAAGAGAAGAAUUGUCUCCUAGAGCCUGUGGGGGACCUGGCUGUACUAACACCUAAAUUUCCGUUGUUUUAAGACACUCAGUUUAUGUUAAUUUGUUACACCAGCCCGAGGACACAAAUACUCUAGGGUACAAAGGUCUGACUUCCUAGCUUAAUUUGAGAUAAGCUAAGAGGGUCAUUUCAGCUCCAGAACUACCCACGGAAUCCGCUGAGGCUGCUUCCACUAUUGCAUCACAGUUCAGCUUCUUUGCUGCUCAAUCCUACAUACUUUAUCACUUCACAUUUGUUGUUUCUGAAAGAGUUCCCCCAAUAAACCUCCUGUACUCAGUCCUCUACCAAGAGUCUGCUUCCGGGGGAAUUUGCCCUAAGAUAGUCGUAACAGGACUGGCCCUAGGAAGGAGACUCUAAAAUGAUAUUUUGGAGCUCCAUCAUCCACUUGCUGGUUUACAAUGAUCUCAUCAUAGACAGCAGAGAAGAGCAUCUCUCUCAGAGGAGGCACUGAACAGCCAAAUACACAGAAGAACUUGUUCGGUUGACAUCCUUCCAUCAGCUUCUGCUAUUGGCCACCUGGAUGCUGGUAAAAUGGGCAGAGAGGUAUAUCAGCCACAACUGUAAACUGGAGAGAACAAGAGCCUCCUAUCCUCUAGGAUUGCUGAAAAAGGAUAUAGUCUCUAAUCUGACUUUCAUCAGUAAUGAAGAUCGUUUUUAUUUUUAAAUUUGAUCUGCCUACUAUGUCUAGUGCUCCUUUGAUUCCAAACUCAAAUAGGAACAACACCAAAAAACAGUAUGAGUUACUGUCCACUCCCUAAACCUGCAACACUAACAGAAGAGUGCUAUUUCCUCCAAUAACUGUUCACUUCCUUCCUAUGACACGUAAGAUACCUAUGAGCAACCCAGAAGGGGGCUACAAUAGAGAUACUGUUAGGGCUGAUUAUGUAUGAUUCUCGAAGCGCUAGCUUGACCUCUACCUUAAAUAAAACGUAAAGAUAUA